AGCAGUAUGGUGCAGGGUUGCACACCGGAAUUCUCUGAUUUGGACCAUUCGAAGUGUAACUCCGCGGCCCUUGUUCGAAUCAAGGUACUGCUC